AGAAUACAGGGAGCAACAUAGAAAAUAAAAGGAGGAGAAAGGAGACACAAAGAUAGAGCACAACACGAUGCAGGUGAGAGUCAGAGACAUGAUGGUGAAUUGAGAGAAGAGUAGCAAGUGCACAGGGAACAUAAGGGGUUGGACAGAGAGAGGGAGGAAGAGAGGGAUAAACAUCGAGAGAGGAGGCACAGAGAAGGCGCUGACCCUGAGAGGGAUUCCGAAGAACAGACCAGCGCCAAGAAAUCAUUAUCCUCUGACCGCAGAGUUCACAAGGAAAAGACAGAGCCUGUUAAAGCUAAGGAAGUAGUGAUGCGAUCUGAGUCACCCUGGAGGUCUAGUCAGAAACAAUUAAGUGACACAGAGGAGCCUAUACCACAUGAUGAUGGGUUUUUUCUCAUGGCCAUAUCUGUCUGCCGUCAACCUUUCUGCUAGCAUGAGAAUAGAGCAUGGCUAUUUAUUUUGGACCAUGGCUGUUUAUGACACACCCAAUUCAGACCAGGACCAUUGAGUGUUGAAUUCGGGACUGGCAAAAUUGAUUGAGGCAUUUGGUAUUGAUUUCAGUGCAUCUAACAUCGGAUAAGUGGACAAACAUUGUCUAUAGACAUACAGUAUAGUGUUCUCUACUCUUUUCUGAUAUUUUCCCUUUAUUCACUGACAAAUGUUUGCAAUGGCACCUUCUGUUGAUGGCUUCAUUGCUUUGCUUGCCUUCACUUGCACCUGCUUGUUGCAUGUUAACGUUCACAUGGAUACACUUUUUACUGUAAACACUGUAUAUUUGUCU